UACAGAGGGGGCUAGCGUUAUUCGGAAUUAUUGGGCGUAAAGGGCGCGUAGGCGGCCAUGCGUGUCUUCCGUGAAAUCCCUCGGCUUAACUGAGGACGUGCGGAAGAAACUGCAAGGCUCGAGUCCGGGAGAGGGGGGUGGAAUUCCCAGUGUAGCGGUGAAAUGCGUAGAUAUUGGGAGGAACACCAGUGGCGAAGGCGACUUCCUGGCCUGUUCUUGACGCUGAGGCGCGAAAGCUAGGGGAGCAAACGGG
rnacentral:rRNA from 1 species